AUUGAACGCUGGCGGCAGGCCUAACACAUGCAAGUCGAACGGUAACAGGAAGCAGCUUGCUGCUUCGCUGACGAGUGGCGGACGGGUGAGUAAUGUCUGGGAAGCUGCCUGAUGGAGGGGGAUAACUACUGGAAACGGUAGCUAAUACCGCAUAAUGUCGCAAGACCAAAGAGGGGGACCUUCGGGCCUCUUGCCAUCGGAUGUGCCCAGAUGGGAUUAGCUUGUUGGUGGGGUAACGGCUCACCAAGGCGACGAUCCCUAGCUGGUCUGAGAGGAUGACCAGCCACACUGGAACUGAUACACGGUCCUUACUCCUACGGGAGGCAGCAGUGGGGAAUAUUGCACAAUGGGCGCAAGCCUGAUGCAGCCAUGUCGCGUGUAUGAAGAAGGCCUUCGGGUUGUAAAGUACUUUCAGCGGGGAGGAAGGGAGUAAAGUUAAUACCUUUGCUCAUUGACGUGACCCGCACAAGAAUCACCGGUUAACUCCGUGCCAGCAGCCGCCGUAAUACGGAGGGUGAAUGCGUUAAUCGGAAUUACUGGGGCGUAAAGCGCAUCGCAGGCGGUUUGUUAAGUCAGAUGUGAAAUCCCCGGGCUCAACCUGGGAACUGCAUCUGAUACUGGCAAGCUUGAGUCUCGUAGAGGGGGGUAGAAUUCCAGGUGUAGCGGUGAAAUGCGUAGAGAUCUGGAGGAAUACCGGUGGCGAAGGCGGCCCCCUGGACGAAGACUGACGCUCAGGUGCGAAAGCGUGGGGAGCAAACAGGAUUAGAUACCCUGGUAGUCCACGCCGUAAACGAUGUCGACUUGGAGGUUGUGCCCUUGAGGCGUGGCUUCCGGAGCUAACGCGUUAAGUCGACCGCCUGGGGAGUACGGCCGCAAGGUUAAAACUCAAAUGAAUUGACGGGGGCCCGCACAAGCGGUGGAGCAUGUGGUUUAAUUCGAUGCAACGCGAAGAACCUUACCUGGUCUUGACAUCCACGGAAGUUUUCAGAGAUGAGAAUGUGCCUUCGGGAACCGUGAGACAGGUGCUGCAUGGCUGUCGUCAGCUCGUGUUGUGAAAUGUUGGGUUAAGUCCCGCAACGAGCGCAACCCUUAUCCUUUGUUGCCAGCGGUCCGGCCGGGAACUCAAAGGAGACUGCCAGUGAUAAACUGGAGGAAGGUGGGGAUGACGUCAAGUCAUCAUGGCCCUUACGACCAGGGCUACACACGUGCUACAAUGGCGCAUACAAAGAGAAGCGACCUCGCGAGAGCAAGCGGACCUCAUAAAGUGCGUCGUAGUCCGGAUUGGAGUCUGCAACUCGACUCCAUGAAGUCGGAAUCGCUAGUAAUCGUGGAUCAGAAUGCCACGGUGAAUACGUUCCCGGGCCU
rnacentral:rRNA from 1 species